UUUAUUUGAUAAUUGAAUUCUACAUGGAUAACCGUGGUAAUUCUAGAGCUAAUACAUGCUGUAAAACCUGACUUUUCGGAAAGGUUGUAUUUAUUAGAUACUAAACCAAUAUUCCUCCGGGUCUAUUGUGAUGAUUCAUAAUAACUGAUCGGAGCGCGGCUAGGCUGCGCUAAAUCAUUCAAGUUUCUGCCCUAUCAGCUUUCGAUGGUAGUGUAUUGGACUACCAUGGCAAUCACGGGUAACGGAGAAUUAGGGUUCGAUUCCGGAGAGGGAGCCUGAGAAACGGCUACCACAUCUAAGGAAGGCAGCAGGCGCGUAAAUUACCCAAUCCUGACUCAGGGAGGUAGUGACAAGAAAUAACAACUCGUGUGCGCAAGCACUACGGGAUUGCAAUGGGUACAAUCCAAAUCACUUAACGAGGAA
rnacentral:rRNA from 1 species